GGUCAAGUGCAAAAGGGCUUGCGGUGGAUUCCUUGGCGCCAAUGGACGAAGAAGGGCGUAGCAAGCUGCGAUAAGCUUCGGGGAGCCGCUAACAGGCGUUGAUCCGGAGAUUCCCGAAUGGGGCAACCCCGCACAGGUCAUGCUGUGCGACCUUCGGCUGAAUACAUAGGCCGGAGGGGAAGACCGGGGGAAUUGAAACAUCUCAGUACCCCGAGGAAAAGAAAGCAACCGCGAUUCCCUAAGUAGCGGCGAGCGAACGGGGAACAGCCUAAACCAAGCGUUACGUUAAAACCCGUGGGUGUUGUACGUUUGGGGUUGUGGGGUUCGGCCGGGCGGAACUACGGAUCCGCCAGAAUGUUACAAAAACACGUUUUAGCUCAACAGACUGGAAAGUCUGGCCAUAGAUGGUGAAAGCCCAGUGAGCGAAAAGGCGUGUUCAUUCCGGGCCGAAUACCCGAGUACUGCGGGACACGAGAAAUCUUGCAGGAAUCUGGGAGGACCACCUCCUAAGGCUAAAUACUGUUGGCGACCGAUAGUGAACCAGUACCGUGAGGGAAAGGUGAAAAGCACCCCGGUGAGGGGAGUGAAAUAGUAUAUGAAACCGUAAGCCUACAAGCAGUGGGAGCACUAUACUCUAACUUCGGUAAGAGCAUGUGUGACCGCGUACCUUUUGCAUAAUGAGC
rnacentral:rRNA from 1 species